ensembl:lncRNA
CAAAGCCCGCGCUCGAAUGCUAUUGGUCGUGUCGCCAAACACGUCAAUCAAAAUAUGACGCAAGUUGAUGCGUUCACUCAAAAGAUUCAUAAACAAACGAAAGGCCACUAAAAGGCGGUAUAAAUUGCACUACCGACGCGAAACUGCUCUGAAGGGAUUUUUAUCAGAUUCUAAGACAGCAUCACAUUCAACUUUGAUUGAAAUUAGGGUAAUUCACUAAGAAGAGGUGUGUAUCUGGAUUUAGAUGCAGUAAUGUGAACAGUUGCAAAAAUUCAGCGUUAAGAGGUCCUACAAUCGCACAGAGCAGGAAUGUUGAUGACUUCUGGGUACAUCUAAAGGAAAUGGAGGCUUUCCUUUGUGUGAGGGGUGUUGGAGUAGCCAAACCCUCGGCUCAAUUUUUCCGACACCUCAUAAAGCGUGAGCUGUGCAUGUGCGUGAGGGCUGAAAUGAUUCACAGCACCAUGGAAACACAACUCACGGCUUCCUGCAGCACAUAUGGAGACGGUAAGGUAUGCCUGUGAUCUCAUAUCAAAAACACCGUUAGGACUCUGAAGUUCAACCUGCUCUCUAGAGGACACAUUCAUCUCAGGAACUUCUUAAAGACAAACAGUGUUUUUCCGGUUUGAUUGCUAGCGGUUUGACGCUCGGUUGGUUUUAUCCUGAGCACUUCUUGGCCCUGAUGGACAGAACGAGGAGAGAGUGAGAGGUUUUUGGCUUAUGAUUUUCCAUAAGCCUUUCCCUGUCACCGCUGCAUUAUACAAUCCAACCCACAAGCUGCAGCUCAGCACUGCUGACAAGCACCUCAGUUUUAGAAGAUGAAAGAACCAAAUAUUGCAAUUCUCUCCCCCUGUCUGUAUCAUAAAAGCUUUGGGGUGAUAUUACCAUGCUCAUGUGACUGCACAUAAUCCAUGUGUCAGCAGUUCAGCCUCAUCCAGAGCGCAAAGAAAACAAGGAUGUGCCAGAUUGGUGAAAUGGCAAACAACUGCAUCAGAGAGGGAAUGAAGUCAACAGUGCUGGCAGCGAAGAUAGUUUGCGUUAUUAUGGUGUCUUAGUUUGUAAACCUGGAUUGUUUUCUUUCUUUUUUUUGCUCCAUUUACGUUUGUUUUUCUGAUCUUAUUUUAUACAUAUUGCAGACAUGAAACAUGUUCAAUAAAAGGUAUUUUUAAGUGUAAAAAUAAUAAUCUAUGAAAUCAUGUGGGUGGGGCUUAUUUUAUUGGAUUUGAUUGGAUCAUGAAAAUCAGGGUACACUUAUUAUUGGAUAAUAGGCUAUUAUUUUUACUCGCGUGGCUUCAGGAGAAAAGAAAAGCCAUUUUACAGGUUGAAUACAUUACAUUUUUUAUAAAAGUUGAUGAAAAGAUUUGUUCUGUAGAAUAAAGUUCUCUGAAAAACAUUUGCAUACUAUGUUGAGGGACAUCUUUUAAGAAAGUAAUUGGGCUUAAUUUUGAUUUCAUGUUAUUUUAAAUCUAUAUGUUAAACCAAGAUACGUGUAUUUAACUUUUUUAACGAAACUUUUUUCUUAUUGAAAACACAUUUUCUGUUAAAUAAUGGAGGGCAGGACUUUUGUUUUGAUUGGACUAGAUUGUGAAAAGCAGGAUGCUCAUUAAAAUAUUAGGCUAUUUUAUCCCACUCGCAUGGUCUUGGCAGAAAAAAAAGGUCAUUUUAGAUGUGAAGAGCAUUUUAUUUAGUUAAAAGAUGAAGACAAUAAACUUCUUUUUUUCUUAAGGUGCCAAUAAUAGCAUAAUAAAAGCAUGUUAAUAAAGUAAAUAGUCUCAAUUUUGAAUGGUUUAAUUUUAUAUAAACGUAUGAAUACAAUUAGUCACUAAUGAUUAGUGAAAAGCUGGUUAGGUAUUGGA